UGUCAGUGCUAGGGUGUAGCUACUGAUCCCAUACUACGGCGCAGAGAGCGAGAAUGAAAGGGGGAGGUGGGACAUCAGGUGUCACAGCUCCACAGCCCCAGAUGAGGCUGCAUCACCACGACAACCCGGGGUGCCGUCAGCUCUCUGUGCCCCACCAGCCAAGCACCUGACCAUCCGCCCAGCCAGCUAUCCCACAAUCUACCAAUCCAUCCCUCCAUCCACCCCGGCGAAGCGAGGCCAGCGCCGGUCGGAACUGGCAACCUGCAGGAGUCAUCAGGCUGCCACAGAUGAAGCGAAGAUAGCAACGAGAUGAAGAGGCAGAGCUGACUCUAUACCCCCAGGGGGGUGGGGGGGGGUGUGCAGCGAGGUGGAACCACUUGCCUGCCUCCCAGUGGAGAGACACUUCCACCAUCAGAGCGCCAUCUGCAGACUCGGUGGGGCGGGACAGCUGGUGUUGUGAAUCAGGCCGCCGUAGUCCAGGGACCGGCUACUUCCCAACACCAGGGUCUAACCCUCGCCCCUCGCACCCCAUUAAUCUCUCACUUUCUCCGUUUAUACAUCAUCCAAAGUCACUGCUGCUUUCUUUUCCACAUCUACUUGUAAAUCAAGUAGAUUUCUUCUUAUUUUAACUUUUAUUUUAUUUAUACUCAUCUUAGAAUUGUAAACCCUCAAUCAGUGUAGCAAAGUAAAUAUGUCUAAAGUAAAUUAAUACAUAUGUAUUUCAAAAUUUGUGUGUGUCUUAAGUACUUAUAACUGAUAAAAAAAAUUUUUUAAAUCACACCAAAUUGAAAUUAUUGAAUGUUUUUUGUCCUGGGUCGGUUCAUUCCGUUACAACUUUACUUUGUGCUUUUUGUACAAACCAUUUCUCGGCUUACUUUUAUUUGUAGUGACGUAUUUUGAGGAAUUGUGGCAAUAAAUAAUCAUAAAAUGCCCUGA